AUAUGAAUCUUUGUUUUAGAUUUAUUUGUCGAAUUUAUCCACGAAUCGACCGGAUUUGUUUUUCAAAACAAACUAUGGAUUCGAACCGAAUUUAUGAAGGACCUUAUUUAAGGUGUAGUUCUAACGCACAAUCAAAAAUAAUAAAUAUAAUCAAAAACGGUAAUAAGUGUUAUAAGUUAUAAUACGCUGGUGUGUAUUUCAUGGGAUUGGGAAAACCACUCCGACUUUAAUUGAUACUAAAAAGGAAGCCAAAGAAUGGUCCGGUUUAAUGAGAUGUGUACCCCCUGGUAGAAGUUCUGGUUACGGCCCUGUUGUAGUUUAUUUACCGCGGAUGUAAAUAAUAAUUUUUGUUUACUUAUUUCUGUACUUCAGAACCUUCUNAGGCAACAAUGUUCAAGAAAAAAAUGACUUCAGCAGGACCCUAUGGGAUGUCUGAGACCUCGGGCCCUUCUGAGACAAAAUCGAAGGAAAAAAUGACAACAGGACCUCAGCUGCAUGAAGACGAACCGAUCCCUUAGGAUCUCUUAGGAGUGGGGGUGCUUGACGGAA
rnacentral:lncRNA from 1 species